GCUGGGUAAGUCUUACACGACCAGCUCCUGUUUAAUCCCCCAGGUUCGGAAGGAAGCAAGGGUAGAUGGUUGUAGCGGUGCGAUGUAAGUAGCUUACCCU
rnacentral:SRP_RNA from 1 species